rnacentral:rRNA from 1 species
UAGGAGGUAUCGACCCGUUAUGUGCCGCAGUCAACACAGUAAGCAUUCCGCCUGGGGAGUACGGUCGCAAGAUUAAAACUCAAAGGAAUUGACGGGGGCCCGCACAAGCAGCGGAGCAUGUGGUUUAAUUCGACGCAACGCGAAGAACCUUACCAGGUCUUGACAUCCAGUUAAAGCUACAGAGAUGUAGUGUCUCUUCGGAGGAACUGAGACAGGUGGUGCAUGGUUGUCGUCAGCUCGUGUCGUGAGAUGUUGGGUUAAGUCCCGCAACGAGCGCAACCCUUGUCACUAGUUGCCAGCAUUACGGAUGGGAACUCUAGUGAGACUGCCGGGGACAACUCGGAGGAAGGUGGGGACGACGUCAAAUCAUCAUGCCCCUUAUGUCUUGGGCUACACACGUGCUACAAUGGCCGGUACAAAGGGCAGCGAAGGCGCAAGCCGGAGCGAAUCUCAAAAAGCCGGUCCCAGUUCGGAUUGUGGGCUGCAACCCGCCCACAUGAAGUCGGAGUUGCUAGUAAUCGCGAAUCAGCAUGUCGCGGUGAAUGCGUUCCCGGGCCUUGUACACACCGCCCGUCACACCACGGAAGUUGGGGGCGCCCGAAGCCGGUGGCCUAACCGCAAGGGGGGAGCCGUCGAAGGUGAAACCAAUGACU